CCUACGGGUGGCAGCAGUGAGGAAUAUUGGUCAAUGGGCGGAAGCCUGAACCAGCCAAGUCGCGUGAGGGAAUAAGGCCCUACGGGUCGUAAACCUCUUUUGCCGGGGAGCAAGGGCGGGGACGUGUCCCAGCCCGGAGAGUACCCGGAGAAAAAGCAUCGGCUAACUCCGUGCCAGCAGCCGCGGUAAUACGGAGGAUGCGAGCGUUAUCCGGAUUUAUCGGGGUUAAAGGGUGCGUAGGCGGGCUUUUAAGUCAGCGGUAAAAAUUCGGGGCGAAAGCCCUUACGGCCGGUGAAACUGGGGGGCUGGAGUGGGCGAGAGGAAGGCGGAAUGAGUGGUGUAGCGGUGAAAUGCAUAGAUAGCACGCAGAACACCGAUUGCGAAGGCAGCCGUCCGGCGCCCUACUGACGCUGAGGCACGAAAGUGCGGGGAUCGAACAGGAUUAGAUACCCCGGUAGUC
rnacentral:rRNA from 1 species